UACGUAGGGGCGCAAGCGUUAUCCGGAAUUAUUGGGCGUAAAGAGCUCGUAGGCGGUCUGUCACGUCUGCCGUGAAAACCCGAGGCUUAACCUCGUGGCUUGCGGUGGAUACGGGCAGACUAGAGGUAGGUAGGGGAGAACGGAAUUCCCGGUGUAGCGGUGAAAUGCGCAGAUAGUCGGGAGGAACACCGGUGGCGAAGGCGGUUCUCUGGGCCUU
rnacentral:rRNA from 1 species